rnacentral:rRNA from 1 species
GACGAACGCUGGCGGCGCGCUUAACACAUGCAAGUCGAACGGUGAACUCUCCUUCGGGAGGGGGAUCAGUGGCGAACGGGUGAGUAACACGUGACCAACCUGCCCCUUGCUCUGGGAUAACCCCGGGAAACCGGAGCUAAUACCGGAUACGAGACCGUGCGGCAUCACACGGUCUGGAAAGUUUUUCGGCGAGGGAUGGGGUCGCGGCCUAUCAGGUUGUUGGUGGGGUAACGGCCGACCACGGCGACGACGGGUAGCCGGCCUGAGAGGGCGGCCGGCGACCCUGGGACUGAGACACUGCCCAGACGCCUACUGGAGGCAGGAGUGGGGAAUAUUGCGCAAGGGGCGAAAGCCUGACGCAGCGACGCCGCGUGAGGGAUGACGGCCUUCGGGUUGUAAACCUCUUUCAGCAGGGAAGAAGCGAAAGUGACGGUACCUGCAGAGGAAGCACCGGCUAACUACGUGCCAGCCGCCGCAGUAAUAC